GAAGAACCUUACCUGGGCUUGACAUACACCGGAUCGGGCUAGAGAUAGUCUUUCCCUUUGUGGCUGGUGUACAGGUGGUGCAUGGUUGUCGUCAGCUCGUGUCGUGAGAUGUUGGGUUAAGUCCCGCAACGAGCGCAACCCUUGUCUUAUGUUGCCAGCAUUUGGUUGGGGACUCAUGAGAGACUGCCGGGGUCAACUCGGAGGAA
rnacentral:rRNA from 1 species